CAGGACUACACAGGACUCAGUCUCAAAAUGAACCAGUUUAUGAGGAAAUUUAUCAGAGACACAAUCUAUGUACUCAGAGAGGGAGUCUCAUCACUCAAGACACUGAUGAGCUUCUCUCAGAGAGGCUGAAUGAGAUCACUCCAGGAAUCUAUGAGGAUAUCUUCACUGGUGGACCGAUACCAGAUUGUGAAACAGUGGACACACCAGAGAAUUAUGAUGAUGUCAUCAUUAAUGGACAGUGCUCACAAUGUGCAAAAGAGGGAGAUCAGGAGGAGUAUGACGAUGUGUGGAGUAUCACUGAAGAUGUGAGAAACCUGUUAGACUAUGAUGAUGUGGGGGAGGAGUCAAACAAUGAUGGAGGGGUAGUAUGACUCAGUGACCACACCCACUUUUUAUUAGAUUUUUAUUUCAAGUUUUUUGCAUUUGAUUUUUUAAUAUUCUGU